CGGGCGAGUAACGCGUGAGUAACCUGCCCUAGAGUGGGGGACAACAGUUGGAAACGACUGCUAAUACCGCAUAAGCCCACGGCUCGGCAUCGAGCAGAGGGAAAAGGAGCAAUCCGCUUUGAGAUGGCCUCGCGUCCGAUUAGCUAGUUGGUGAGGUAAUGGCCCACCAAGGCGACGAUCGGUAGCCGGACUGAGAGGUUGAACGGCCACAUUGGGACUGAGACACGGCCCAG
rnacentral:rRNA from 1 species